ACAGCGCGUACAAGUUUAAAACAACGUGACACCGGUAACGUAAACGUGUAUGCCGUUUUCCCUACAAUUUCGUUUCUUAAUUAUUUCGAAAACCCGCGGGGAAAAUCGAACCACAACCCCCCUCUUCCUCCUCCCCCCGAUUUCCGGGUUCGCACGGUAAAUCAAAAACUACCGGGGUUUUAACUAGACGUGUCGCGGUCGUUUUAAAAAGGGCGACGGAUUAAACGACGGGCGAGCAGCGGGUCCGGGGAGUACACCGAAACCGAU